AUUGAACGCUGGCGGCAGGCCUAACACAUGCAAGUCGAGCGGAUGAAGGGAGCUUGCUCCUGGAUUCAGCGGCGGACGGGUGAGUAAUGCCUAGGAAUCUGCCUGGUAGUGGGGGAUAACGUCCGGAAACGGGCGCUAAUACCGCAUACGUCCUGAGGGAGAAGGUGGGGGAUCUUCGGACCUCACGCUAUCAGAUGAGCCUAGGUCGGAUUAGCUAGUUGGUGGGGUAAAGGCCUACCAAGGCGACGAUCCGCAACUGGUCUGAGAGGAUGAUCAGUCACACUGGAACUGAGACACGGUCCAGACUCCUACGGGAGGCAGCAGUGGGGAAUAUUGGACAAUGGGCGAAAGCCUGAUCCAGCCAUGCCGCGUGUGUGAAGAAGGUCUUCGGAUUGUAAAGCACUUUAAGUUGGGAGGAAGGGCAGUAAGUUAAUACCUUGCUGUUUUGACGUUACCAACAGAAUAAGCACCGGCUAACUUCGUG
rnacentral:rRNA from 1 species